GUAGGUGAACCUGCGGAAGGAUCAUUAUUGAUUUUUAAAGGAUGUGCUGGCUCCUCCGGGGGCAUGUGCACUCCUAACAAAAACCAAUAUCCACCUGUGCACCCUCAGUAGGCAGGAAAAAGGACCUUGUCCAAGGGCUUUUUUUUUCUCUGUCUAUGUUUCUUUCACAAACACUUGAUCUAUUUGAAUGCCAAUACAACAAAUAACAUUUGUAACACAACUUUCAACAAUGGAUCUCUUGGUUCUCGCA
rnacentral:misc_RNA from 1 species